rnacentral:rRNA from 1 species
UACAGAGGUCGCGAGCGUUGUUCGGAUUCAUUGGGCGUAAAGGGUGCGUAGGUGGCGCUGUAAGUCGGGUGUGAAAUCCUGAGGCUUAACCUCGGAACUGCAUUCGAUACUGCGGCGCUUGAGGACUGGAGAGGAGACUGGAAUUCAUGGUGUAGCAGUGAAAUGCGUAGAGAUCAGGAGGAAGACCAGUGGCGAAGGCGGGUCUCUGGACAGUUCCUGACACUGAGGCACGAAGGCCAGGGGAGCAAACGGG